rnacentral:rRNA from 1 species
AACGAACGCUGGCGGCAUGCCUAACAUAUGCAAGUCGAACGCCCCGCAAGGGGAGUGGCGAACGGGUGAGUAACGCGUGGGAACCUACCCAUCAGUUGGGGAUAACCGCGGGAAACUGCGGCUAAUACCGAAUACGUCCUAAGGGAGAAAGAUUUAUCGCUGUUGGAGGGGCCCGCGUGGGAUUAGCUAGUUGGUGAGGUAACGGCUCACCAAGGCGACGAUCCGUAGCUGGUCUGAGAGGAUGAUCAGCCACACUGGGACUUAGACACGGCCCAGACUCCUACGGGAGGCAGCAGUGGGGAAUAUUGGACAAUGGGGGCAACCCUGAUCCAGCAAUGCCGCGUGAGUGAUGAAGGCCUUAGGGUUGUAAAGCUCUUUUACCGGGGACGAUGAUGACGGUACCCGGAGAAUAAGCCCCGGCUAACUUCGUGCCAGCCGCCGCAGUAAAAC